GUUGUGGCUCAGGGGUAGAGCACUUGUCUAGCAUGUGUGAGUCACUGGGUUCGAUUCUCAGCACCACA
rnacentral:tRNA from 1 species